AUAGUGACUAUUGUGGAUUUAAAUGACUGGUUGUCUUUAAAAUGCAUUUUUAGCAUGAAAUUUGUUUUUGUGACAUGUAAUAUGAUCAUUGGCAAAUUCGAAAACAUGAUUAGAAAUCACAUGCUGAUAAUUAUUGAUGUCAAGGUCGCCAUUGUUUGUAAACAUUGCUUUUAAACAGCAUGCUCGGUGAAAACAAGUAAUUUUACAGGGGGGUACAAACUUUCAGCAAUAGCAAAAAAUCUACAAGGCCAAGCACCUAUUUCUUUGUGAUAUUUUGCAUGCAUAGGGAGUUGCUAAAGCAGUGACAGAGUUUUUGUAGACCGUAUAUUUGCAGGUUGUGUAGUUUGGGAUCAGAUUUAUCAGACAUAUUGCUUGUAGGACAUUGACGGCAGAAACUUGAAAUUUAGUGUGGAGUGCUACCUUAAGGCACACACCACACUAAAUGAAGCCGCAGCUUCGAAUGGCCAGGGAGGAUUUCAUGGAUAUAGUGACUAUUGUGGAUUUAAAUGACUGGUUGUGUAGUUUGGGAUCAGAUUUAUCAGACAUAUUGCUUGUAGGACAUUGACGGCAGAAACUUGAAAUUUAGUGUGGAGUGCUACCUUAAGGUUGUGUAGUUUGGGAUCAGAUUUAUCAGACAUAUUGCUUGUAGGACAUUGACGGCAGAAACUUGAAAUUUAGUGUGGAGUGCUACCACACCACACUAAAUGAAGCCGCAGCUUCGAAUGGCCAGGGAGGAUUUCAUGGAUAUAGUGACUAUUGUGGAUUUAAAUGACUGGUUGUGUAGUUUGGG